rnacentral:rRNA from 1 species
CGGGGGGAGCAAGCGUUGUUCGGAUUUACUGGGCGUAAAGGGCGCGUAGGCGGCCAGCACAAGUCAGUUGUGAAAUCUCCGGGCUUAACUCGGAACGGUCAACUGAUACUGUGCGGCUAGAGUGCAGAAGGGGCAACUGGAAUUCUCGGUGUAGCGGUGAAAUGCGUAGAUAUCGAGAGGAACACUUGCGGCGAAGGCGGGUUGCUGGGCUGACACUGACGCUGAUGCGCGAAAGCCAGGGGAGCGAACGGGAUUAGAUACCCCGGUAGUCCUGGCCUUAAACGAUGGAUGCUUGGUGUCUGGAGUUUUAUAGUCUCCGGGUGCCGUAGCUAACGCGUUAAGCAUCCCGCCUGGGGAGUACGGUCGCAAGACUG